UGGGGAAUAUUGCACAAUGGACGGAAGUUUGAUGCAGCGACGCCGCGUGGAGGGUGUAGGCCUUCGGGUUGUGAACUCCUUUUUCUCGCGAAAAAGGCACAGUUUUGGCUGUGUUGAUGGUAGUGGGGGAAGAAGCGCCGGCUAACUACGUGCCUGCAGCCGCGGUAAUACGUAGGGCGCGAGCGUUGUCCGGAUUUAUUGGGCGUAAAGAGCUCGUAGGUGGUUCGUCGCGUCUGUCGUGAAAGCCAGCAGCUUAACUGUUGGUCUGCGGUGGGUACGGGCGGGCUUGAGUGCGGUAGGGGUGACUGGAAUUCCUGGUGUAGCGGUGGAAUGCGCAGAUAUCAGGAGGAACACCGAUGGCGAAGGCAGGUCACUGGGCCGUUACUGACACUGAGGAGCGAAAGCGUGGGGAGCGAACAGG
rnacentral:rRNA from 1 species